rnacentral:rRNA from 1 species
UACAGAGGGGGCAAGCGUUAUUCGGAAUUAUUGGGCGUAAAGGGCGCGUAGGCGGCUUUGCAAGUGACGGGUGAAAUCCCUCGGCUUAACCGAGGAACUGCCUGUCAAACUGCAUGGCUUGAGACCAGGAGAGGUGAGUGGAAUUCCCAGUGUAGCGGUGAAAUGCGUAGAGAUCAUGAGGAAGACCAGUGGCGAAGGCGGGUCUCUGGACAGUUCCUGACACUGAGACACGAAGGCCAGGGGAGCAAACGGG